UAAAGAUUCAUCGCUGAUAGAUAGGCAUGCGUUCCAUUAGGCAGUUGGCGGGGUAACGGCCCACCAAACCGACGAUGGAUAGGGGUUCUGAGAGGAAGGUCCCCCACAUUGGUACUGAGACACGGACCAAACUCCUACGGGAGGCAGCAGUGAGGAAUAUUGGUCAAUGGGCGUAAGCCUGAACCAGCCAAGUCGCGUGAGGGAUGAAGGUUCUAUGGAUCGUAAACCUCUUUUAUAAGGGAAUAAAGUGCGGGACGUGUCCCGUUUUGUAUGUACCUUAUGAAUAAGGAUCGGCUAACUCCGUGCCAGCAGCCGCGGUAAUACGGAGGAUCCGAGCGUUAUCCGGAUUUAUUGGGUUUAAAGGGUGCGUAGGCGGCCUUUUAAGUCAGCGGUGAAAGUCUGUGGCUCAACCAUAGAAUUGCCGUUGAAACUGGGAGGCUUGAGUAUGUUUGAGGCAGGCGGAAUGCGUGGUGUAGCGGUGAAAUGCUUAGAUAUCACGCAGAACCCCGAUUGCGGAGGCAGCCUGCCAAGCCAUGACUGACGCUGAUGCACGAAAGCGUGGGGAUCAAACAGGAUUAGAUACCCUGGUAGUCCACGCAGUAAACGAUGAUCACUAGCUGUUUGCGAUACAGUGUAA
rnacentral:rRNA from 1 species